AUGAGUAACCUGCUGUUGAGA
rnacentral:piRNA from 1 species